CCGGCGCACGGGUGAGUAACACGUAUCCAACCUGCCGUCUACUCUUGGACAGCCUUCUGAAAGGAAGAUUAAUACAAGAUGGCAUCAUGAGUCCGCAUGUUCACAUGAUUAAAGGUAUUCCGGUAGACGAUGGGGAUGCGUUCCAUUAGAUAGUAGGCGGGGCAACGGCCCACCUAGUCUUCGAUGGGUAGGGGUUCUGAGAGGAAGGUCCCCCACAUUGGAACUGAGACACGGUCCAAACUCCUACGGGAGGCAGCAUG
rnacentral:rRNA from 1 species